rnacentral:rRNA from 1 species
GACGAACGCUGGCGGCGUGCUUAACACAUGCAAGUCGAACGGAAAGGCUCCAGCUUGCUGGAGUACUCGAGUGGUGAACGGGUGAGUAACACGUGGGUAAUCUGCCCUGCACUCUGGGAUAAGCCUGGGAAACUGGGUCUAAUACUGGAUAUGACCUUUCUCCUUAUGGGGUUUGGUGGAAAGUUUUUCGGUGUAGGAUGAGCCCGCGGCCUAUCAGCUUGUUGGUGGGGUGAUGGCCUACCAAGGCGACGACGGGUAGCCGGCCUGAGAGGGUGAUCGGCCACAUUGGGACUGAGAUACGGCCCAGACUCCUACGGGAGGCAGCAGUGGGGAAUAUUGCACAAUGGGCGGAAGCCUGAUGCAGCGACGCCGCGUGAGGGAUGACGGCCUUCGGGUUGUAAACCUCUUUCAGCAGGGACGAAGCGUAAGUGACGGUACCUGCAGAAGAAGCACCGGCUAACUAUGUG